UCUUCUACGCGAUUGAAGUGUGUAGCGCUCAGAUGGAUAUCAGAGCAAGCCAAGAUGGUAAUAAUAAUAGGGUCAAAGGAAGGGAAAGAAUUGUGCAGAUGGGUGGAUAGAGAAAUAUAGAUAACGAAGAUGAAAAAUAGUUGGAGUAGAAACGUGUUGAAAGAAUAGUUGAAAAGUAUGUGGCCGAUUACAGUAUAUGUAGUGGUGAAAAGGAUACUAGUGAAAAUGUACGCGAAUUAAGAAAGAAAAAGAUAUGUGAUGAAAAAAAAAAUUUCUAAAGGAAAUAUUUUUUUUAGUUUUUUUAGUUGGGGGUAAUGUAACGAUGUUACAAUAUAGUUGGAUUAAAAAUAAAAUAAAGAGUUUGUGUGCGCGCCUAAAACAGACGAGAGGGCUGUUGCGUUCGAGUCGAAAAGCAAUAUAGUGAUAACGUCCUUCUAAGCGACACUAGCGACACUAGUGGUCGUAAAAGAAACCUUAAUGUAAUCGCGAUACGAUACUGAGACCAUAGAACUCAACGAGGUGGGGAAUGACCAAUUCAUUGGUGUAGUUGGGUAAAUAAAAAGGGAACUCGCGGCGCGAGUAUAUAGAAGCUGAGGAAAUACAGUCAGCCAGAGGGCAAUGAUCUUUUUUCUCGAUUCGAACGGCAUAGUGAUCAGUCGCAACUUGUGGAACAGUUUUGUUCAAGUGAAGAUAAAGCAUAAAGAUAAAGUGAACAUUGUUAGAAAGCCGAUCGAUUACGCAUUAAAACGAGAUAUAAGGUGGAAGUUAUUUUAAAGGCCCAGAAAGGGAAAACUAUGCAUGACGGUUAGAUUUGCACGAAAUGAAGCAUAUUAAUUGAGAUACCACCGAACAAGCAUAGAAUUAAUCCUAAGUUGCUCGAGGUACAGGUAAAUAAUUUUGAAAGCUAUCAAUAGAACCUAUAUGUGAAUUAACGCUAUUGUCUGCUAUUUGCGCAUUUUCUUGAAGGACCAGCAUCCUUCAAGUGAAGGUGUGACUGCCAGGUGUAGGGGUUUGCGACUAGUCACGCUUGCCCUCAGACGACCCAGAAGCUUGUCGGCUUGUAGCCUAGCUCGUCGGCAGGCCCGUGAUCGUCAUUCGCAUCUGUGGGCCAACCGGAGGUUCUCCACGCCUCCUAGUAACGAUUUCCGGUCUUCCAUUGCCAAAAAUCGUUAUAUCCGGCCUCGUAGCAACCAACGCAAAAAUUCGUGUUACGGACGAAUAUCGAUUCAGCAUAAGAUAUAUGCGAGUAGUCGAGACACCUCUGAGGAAGUUAGUCGAGACACGGAUAGCGCUCAUCGGCCGCCGCCGCUACCAGAAUUCCAGCCGCCGUUGGAUCGUUAUGUUUUUCGACAAGGUCAGAACUAGUUAAUAAGAUUGUAUCGAUUCGUGUAUUAGUGGUAGUGACUUCACCCUGCAUGGUGGAGAUAGUAGUAAACAAGCGCUUGUAGGUUAAAUAUAGAAAUGUCGAUAAGGAAGUGAGGAGGAAAUAUACAUAUGAGCCAAGAGUCACCGAGAAUAAAUAUCACGUGUCGUGAGAAGAAACGGAUUGAUCAUUGCCUUCGUUUUGCAAUCGAUAUCGUGAAGAACAGUUCCCGUUGGGCAUAGCCACCCGUUGAAAAAAAAAACUGAGUAUCGUGGAACGAUUGAGCGUUUUUAGUUGUCGGUUAAAAUUUUACAACCCGCCUUGAGAAGUCUCGCUGGGCACGUGACGAAUGUCGCUGGUUUGCAUGCGGGUGUGAUCCGUUCCGCUCGCUUGGCGCGUAAGCAAACUCAGUCAGGGAAGAAACUAAAUCCGCCCGUGACCCGUUACAAAAUUUUGUAAAUGUUGUUGGGUGGAACAUCCUAUCACUAUUAUAUCGUCCAUGUAAACGAAUGCGUGUUCUGGUGUAAGUCCAGCCAUGGCAAUCGUCAUCAUUCUUUGGAAACUGUUUGGGCUAAUAUUUAGUCCGAAAGGUAAACGUGUGAAUUGGUAGUGUCCACUUUGUGUUGAAAAUGCUGUAAAUUUUCUUGAGUUAUUUUCUAAAGGUAUUUGGUGAAAUCUAGUGUCUAAAAGUAUUUUGCUCUACCAAGUUGAUCCAAAAUUGUAUCAAUUCUUGGUAAAGGAAAUUUGUCUGCUUGUAUUUUUAUGAUUAGUUGUCUAAAAUCUACCACCAGUCUCCAUUUUCUUUUUGCGUCGUUUGAUUUUUUGGUACUAGGAGAAUGGGGCUAUUGUAGGGUGAUAUAGAAGGUUCUAUAAUUUUGUCGUUCAGCAUUUUAUUGACUUGUGUUUCUAUUUCGUCGUGUUGUGAAUGGAUCGUUUUGUA